rnacentral:lncRNA from 1 species
UGCAUGUUCAUUUUCUUCUUCAAGUUUUUUUGAAGCCUUUGGCCAGGAUCUAUGUUCUGCAUAAUUCCAUAAGAUGCUAAAAUUCAUUUGACAAGAGGAAUGGCAACAUCGUCACUAUCCAGGAAGACAUGUGAUUGUUUGAUAGAAUAAAGCCCUCCGCUCCUCAGCAGAAAGAGCUGUUAGAUGACAGCCAGAGCCACAUCCAUGGUCCUGAGGAUCUCUAGAACUUCUGUCUUGCAUAACCGAACCUUUGUACUGGAGGAGCAGCCAGCCUGGAUUUUAUUGACAUCUUCAAGCUCAACAAAAGUUUGCUUGGUCAUAACCUUGAGAAAACCAUGGAGGUGGCAUUUGAAACAUGGGAUUGAUAUGUCUACACCCCUAUAG